GACGUAGGGAGCGAGCGUUGUCCGGAUUCAUUGGGCGUAAAGCGCGCGUAGGCGGUUUGGCAAGUCGGAUGUGAAAUCCCGAGGCUCAACCUCGGGACUGCAUCCGAUACUGCCCGACUAGAGGUAGGUAGGGGAGAUCGGAAUUCCUGGUGUAGCGGUGAAAUGCGCAGAUAUCAGGCGGAACACCCGUGGCGAAGGCGGCUCACUGGGGGUCUUCUGACGCUGAGGAACGAAAGCGAGGGGAGCGAACGGG
rnacentral:rRNA from 1 species